AACUUUCAGCAACGGAUCUCUUGGUUCUCGCAUCGAUGAAGAACGUAGCAAACUGCGAUACUUAAUGUGAAUUGCAAAUUCAGUGAAUCAUCGAGUCUUUGAACGCACAUUGCACUCAUUGGUAUUCCAAUGAGUACGCCUGUUUCAGCA
rnacentral:rRNA from 1 species